rnacentral:tRNA from 1 species
UGUUCUGUAGCUUAGUUGGUUAAAGCGCCGGUCUAGCGUACACGGAGUCGUGAGUUCAAGCCUCACUAGAACGC